CCUACGGGAGGCGGCAGUGGGGAAUUUUGGACAAUGGGCGCAAGCCUGAUCCAGCAAUGCCGCGUGAGUGAAGAAGGCCUUCGGGUUGUAAAGCUCUUUUGUCAGGGAAGAAACGGUGGGGGCUAAUAUCCCUCGCUAAUGACGGUACCUGAAGAAUAAGCACCGGCUAACUACGUGCCAGCAGCCGCGGUAAUACGUAGGGUGCAAGCGUUAAUCGGAAUUACUGGGCGUAAAGCGUGCGCAGGCGGUUUUGUAAGUCUGUCGUGAAAGCCCCGGGCUCAACCUGGGAAUUGCGAUGGAGACUGCAAGGCUUGAAUCUGGCAGAGGGGGGUAGAAUUCCACGUGUAGCAGUGAAAUGCGUAGAGAUGUGGAGGAACACCGAUGGCGAAGGCAGCCCCCUGGGUCAAGAUUGACGCUCAUGCACGAAAGCGUGGGGAGCAAACAGGAUUAGAUACCCUGGUAGUCCACGCCCUAAACGAUGUCUACUAGUUGUCGGGUUUUAAUUAACUUGGUAACGCAGCUAACGCGUGAAGUAGACCGCCUGGGGAUACGGUCGCAAGNUUAAAACCNAAAGAUUGACGNNGAGAGNGCGAGACGACGACGAGGGAGAGG
rnacentral:rRNA from 1 species